AUUACAUGAUGAAUCUAUCCCGAAUCUGAUUUCAUGUGAAUGAAACUCUUAGACGGAUCUGACUGCUGAUAU
rnacentral:snoRNA from 1 species